rnacentral:rRNA from 1 species
UACGUAGGGUGCAGGCGUUAAUCGGAAUUACUGGGCGUAAAGCGUGCGCAGGCGGUGAUGGAAGACAGAUGUGAAAUCCCCGGGCUCAACCUGGGAACUGCAUUUGUGACUGCAUCGCUGGAGUGCGGCAGAGGGGGAUGGAAUUCCGCGUGUAGCAGUGAAAUGCGUAGAUAUGCGGAGGAACACCGAUGGCGAAGGCAAUCCCCUGGGCCUGCACUGACGCUCAUGCACGAAAGCGUGGGGAGCAAACAGG